CUUGGAAGCAGCCAUUCAUUUAAAGAGUGCGUAACAGCUCACUGGUCGAGGGUUUUAGCGCGGAAAAUGAUCGGGCAUCAAACAUAGUGCCGAAGCUAUAGACUUUAUACAUUAUGUAUAGAGUGGUAGGAGAGCAUUCCAUUCAGCGUUGAAGGUGUACUGUGAGGUAUGCUGGAGCGAAUGGAAAAGAAAAUGUAGGAAUGAGUAACGAUAAACAAGGUGAGAAACCUUGUCGCCGAAAGACUAAGGGUUCCUGAUCAACGUUAAUCGGAUCAGGGUUAGUCGGGACCUUAGGCGUAGCCGAAAGGCGAAGCUGAUGGAAAAAGGGUUAAUAUUCCCUUACCUCUUAUAAUUUCGAUGGAGUAACGCAGAAGUGACAAGUCCGCGAACUGACGGAAUAGUUCGUUAAAGGGUGUAGUUAUUGGAUCUAUAGUUAAAUGCGUAGAUUUAGAUGAAACCUGAUAGUACCAGCGUCCUUCGGGAUAAUGGAUAGUGACUGUAAUCAGACUGCCGAGAAAAACUUCUAAGGUUAGGUUAUAAGAGCUCGUACCGUAAACCGACACAGGUAGUCGAGAUGAGUAUUCUCAGGCGCUCGGGUGAGCCGUGGAGAAGGAAUUAGGCAAAUUAACGCUGUAACUUCGGGAUAAAGCGUACCACAGUGAUGUGGUCUCAGUAAAAUGGUUCAACCAACUGUUUAGCAAAAACACAGGGCCCUGCCAAAUCGCAAGAUGACGUAUAGAGCCUGACACCUGCCCGGUGCUGGAAGGUUAAGGAAGCUUGUUCGGAGCAAUCCAAAGCUUGCGACUGAAGCCCCAGUAAACGGCGGCCGUAACUAUAACGGUCCUAAGGUAGCGAAAUUCCUUGUCGGGUAAGUUCCGACCUGCACGAAUGGUCUAAUGAGUUGCACACUGUCUCCUCCACGAGCCCGGUGAAAUUGUAGUAUCGGUGAAGAUGCCGGUUACCCGCCACGGGACGAAAAGACCCCGUGAACCUUCACUACAACUUUGCAUUGAUUUUGGGUACCAGAUGUGUAGGAUAGUUGGGAGACUAUGAAGCAGGCACGCCAGUGUUUGUGGAGUCAACGUUGAAAUACCAACCUUCUGUUACUUAGAGUCUAAUCCCUGUUUGGGGAGACAUUGCAUGGUGGGUAGUUUGACUGGGGUGGUCGCCUCCUAAAGCGUAACGGAGGCUCGCAAAGGUUCCCUCAUUACGGUUGGUAAUCGUAAGUAGAGCGUAUUAGUAUAAGGGAGCUUGACUGUGAGACUGACUAGUCGAUCAGGUGCGAAAGCAGGCUAAAGUGAUCCGGCGGUUCUGUAUGGAAGGGCCGUCGCUCAAAGGAUAAAAG
rnacentral:rRNA from 1 species